rnacentral:rRNA from 1 species
UUUUCCUACGGGGGGCAGCAGUGGGGGAUAUUGCACAAUGGGGGGAACCCUGAUGCAGCGACGCCGCGUGGGUGAAGAAGCGCCUCGGCGCGUAAAGCCCUGUCAGCAGGGAAGAAAAUGACGGUACCUGAAGAAGAAGCCCCGGCUAACUACGUGCCAGCAGCCGCGGUAAUACGUAGGGGGCAAGCGUUAUCCGGAUUUAUUGGGUUUAAAGGGUGCGUAGGCGGGCUUUUAAGUCAGCGGUAAAAAUUCGGGGCUCAACCCCGUCCGGCCGUUGAAACUGGGGGCCUUGAGUGGGCGAGAAG